UACAGAGGUCCCAAGCGUUGUUCGGAUUCACUGGGCGUAAAGGGUGCGCAGGUGGGCUGGUAAGUUCGAUGUGAAAGCCCCGGGCUUAACCCGGGAACGGCAUUGGAUACUACUGGUCUGGAGGAUUGGAGGGGGGACUGGAAUUCUUGGUGUAGCAGUGAAAUGCGUAGAUAUCAAGAGGAACACCAGUGGCGAAGGCGAGUCCCUGGACAAUACCUGACACUGAGGCACGAAAGCCGGGGGAGCAAACAGG
rnacentral:rRNA from 1 species